rnacentral:rRNA from 1 species
GAUGAACGCUGGCGGCGUGCCUAAUACAUGCAAGUCGAGCGAACGGACGAGAAGCUUUCUUCUCUGAUGUUAGCGGCGGACGGGUGAGUAACACGUGGAUAACCUACCUAUAAGACUGGGAUAACUUCGGGAAACCGGAGCUAAUACCGGAUAAUAUUUUGAACCGCAUGGUUCAAAAGUUAAAGACGGUCUUGCUGUCACUUAUAGAUGGAUCCGCGCUGCAUUAGCUAGUUGGUAAGGUAACGGCUUACCAAGGCAACGAUGCAUAGCCGACCUGAGAGGGUGAUCGGCCACACUGGAACUGAGACACGGUCCAGACUCCUACGGGAGGCAGCAGUAGGGAAUCUUGCGCAAUGGGCGAAAGCCUGACGGAGCAACGCCGCGUGAGUGAUGAAGGUCUUCGGAUCGUAAAACUCUGUUAUUAGGGAAGAACAUAUGUGUAAGUAACUGUGCACAUCUUGACGGUACCUAAUCAGAAAGCCACGGCUAACUACGUG